AGUGAACGCUGGCGGUAGGCCUAACACAUGCAAGUCGAACGGCAGCACAGUAAGAGCUUGCUCUUACGGGUGGCGAGUGGCGGACGGGUGAGGAAUACAUCGGAAUCUACCUUUUCGUGGGGGAUAACGUAGGGAAACUUACGCUAAUACCGCAUACGACCUACGGGUGAAAGCAGGGGAUCUUCGGACCCUGCGCGAUUGAAUGAGCCGAUGUCGGAUUAGCUAGUUGGCGGGGUAAAGGCCCACCAAGGCGACGAUCCGUAGCUGGUCUGAGAGGAUGAUCAGCCACACUGGAACUGAGACACGGUCCAGACUCCUACGGGAGGCAGCAGUGGGGAAUAUUGGACAAUGGGCGCAAGCCUGAUCCAGCCAUACCGCGUGGGUGAAGAAGGCCUUCGGGUUGUAAAGCCCUUUUGUUGGGAAAGAAAAGCAGCAGGUUAAUACCCCGCUGUUCUGACGGUACCCAAAGAAUAAGCACCGGCUAACUUCGUG
rnacentral:rRNA from 1 species